ensembl:lncRNA
GGAGAUAUUAACUUUUUGCCAUCCUGAUGGAAUAGUGGCUCAGGAUAUAAAUUUAGCUGAGUUACAUAAGAAUAAAACUGAUAUAUUUCUUGUGCACCUAAAUCUGUGGCCUUAGAUUCAUACCCACUAUACAUAUUAUUCACAUCAGAGUCCUACGAGUUGGAGAGGUUGAUCCAGAGCUACUUACCUACUAUGUGCACCAUUGGAGUUUCAAUUUCCCCAUAAGUCAACUAAGGAUUUUAAUACCCAUUGCAUGAGGUUAAUAAGAAGACUCAAUGAGAUGAUGUAUGCUGUAUAAGUUGCCAGGCCCACUCAAAAUAGAUACUCUAGAAAAAUGCUAUUUCCCUCACCCCAAUAUUAUUAUUUCAAUCAAUAUACAUAAAAUGUUACAAUUUCCAAGUUUACAACUGGUUAUACAUUAGUUAUACUUUAGGUUGGCUGCUUCAUGAUGGCAUUUUAGCAUCUUAAUCUCAUCAGUAAAAUGUCCUCAAAUCACAUGGAUUACUUCUGGGAAGAAUUUCUGUGGCCGGUUAGUCCCACCCACAAUGUGUGGUUUCCAGUAAGCUUCAAUCAAAGAGAGUGUCCCCUCCCUGACCUGAGCAUGCUGUCAUUUCCCAGUCCUUUUGCCACAAUCAUCUCAGAGUCCAUCUUUUGGCAUGCUAUCCCUCUGUCUUUUAUACAGAAGUUAAGCCAUGGCCUUCUCGUUCCAGGUCCAGGAAGUGUGUGCUGCACCAUUGUAGGACAUCUCCUGUUACUAGAACUUCACAUUUAGGCCAGGCACAGUGGCUCACACCUGUAAUUGCAACACUUUGAGAGGCCGAGGUGGGAGGAUCACGAGGUCAAGAGCUCAAGACCAUCCUGGCCAACACGGUGAAACCCCAUCUCUACUAAAAAUACAAAAAUCAGCUGCGUGUGGUGAUGUGUGCCUGUAGUCCCAGACUUGAGAAUAUACGUGCCAAGAUGAUGGAACAGAAAAUCAGAAACAGCCUGAGUAUCUGAUGACCUUGUAAAUCUGCCAUAUCAGCUGUGGAUGGCCUCCUUGUGACUCCUAAUAUGGAAGAGAAUGAACUAUUUUGUGUCAAAGCUGCUCUAAGUGGAUCUUUGUUAUCAGCAGUUGAGCGCAAUUUCUUAGGGAACAGAUGAUAUUUAAAGCCAUGGAACUGGAUGAGAUCACCUGGGAAGUGAAUGGAGGUAGAGGAGAGUAGAGGAUCAUGCCAGAGCCUAUGGAAUUCUAGCAUGCUGAUGUUCAGGAAGAGGAAGAGGAUGCAGAAAGAGAUCAGCCAUGAAGGAUCAAUUAAGUAGCAGGACAACCAGGCCUCUGUGAUGUCUUGGAAGCAAGUGAAGAAAAUGUUUGCCCAAUGCUGCUCAUAGGCCAAAUUAGAGGAAAACUGAGAAGGAGCCAUUGGAUUUAGCAACAUGGAGGUCACUGGUGACCCUGACGAGAGCAAGUUCAGGGGGAGGUGGGGAAAAGCCUGAAUUGAAUGGAGACUGGAAGAAGAAGACAGAAAGUAUAAGCAACUCUUUCAAGUAAUUUUUGCUUCAGAGGAGGGCAGAGACCCAGGGCAGUAGCUGGAGAAGUAGGCUCAAAAGAAGUUGUACUGGCCGGGCAUGGUGGCUCACACCUGUAAUCCAGCAGUUUGAGAGGCCGAGGUGGGCAGAUCACUUGAGGUCAAGAGUUUGAGACCAGGUCAACAUGGUGAAACCUUGUCAUUACUAAAAAUACAAAAAUUAACUGGGUGUGAUAGCAUGCACCUGUAGUCCCAGCUACUUAGGAGGCUGAGGCAAGAGAAUUGCUUGAACCCUGGAGGCAAGGAUUGCAGUAAGCCAAGAUCACACCACUACACUCCAGUCUGUGCAACAGAGUAAGACUCAGUCUCAAAAAAAAAAAAGAGUCGCAUUUUUUUAAGAUGAGAAAAACAAUAGCAUAUUUGAUGCUUAUAGGAAUGAUCUAAUUUAAUAACGCAGGAAUGAGAAGGUAGAAUUGUUGGUGUGAUGUCUUUGUUUAAGUCAAGUUGCUCCCUGAGUUUCACUCAAAUACUCACUUUAUUAUGUUUCCAUAACUAUCACAUAGCUAACUUUUCCUGG